UACGAAGGGUGCAAACGUUGCUCGGAAUCAUUGGGCGUAAAGCGCACGUAGGCGGCAUUCUAAGUCGGAUGUGAAAUCCCUCGGCUCAACCGAGGACGUGCAUCCGAAACUGGAACGCUCGAGUAUGGAAGAGGGUCGCGGAAUUCUCGGUGUAGAGGUGAAAUUCGUAGAGAUCGGGAGGAACACCAGUGGCGAAGGCGCCUAUCUGGCUGACAACUGACGCUGAGACUCGAAAGCAUGGGGAGCAAACAGG
rnacentral:rRNA from 1 species